rnacentral:rRNA from 1 species
AAACACGGACCAAGGAGUCUAGCGUGUGCGCGAGUCAUUGGGUGAAAAACCUAAAGGCGUAAUGAAAGUGUCAGAGGGCGCUUGCGCUCUCAGUGGGAGGAUGGGCUUCCGGCUUUCAGUCGGGGCCCCGCACUCCCGGGGCGUUUCAUUCUCGUUUCGAGUCGAGACGCACCAGGAGCGCACACGCUGGUACCCGAAAGAUGGUGAACUAUGCCUGGCCAGGACGAAGCCAGGGGAAACCCUGGUGGAGGUCCGAAGCGAUUCUGACGUGCAAAUCGAUCGUCUGAGCUGGGUAUAGGGGCGAAAGACCAAUCGAACCAUCUAGUAGCUGGUUCCCUCCGAAGUUUCCCUCAGG